rnacentral:lncRNA from 1 species
CAACAAUGGCCAUGAGGGAUUCAAGGAUUAUGCGUCUCUGCACCCUACAAUACACCAACUGGCAGUUCCAUCAUUUGAAAGAAAAUCUUCAAGGUUUAAGACCUGUGACACAGACUGAAGCUCUCCUGGCAUACUCUGAAGCUCUCCUGGCACCCUCCCCUUUAUGCUUCACAGGUGUUUCUCCUAAUAAAUUUCUUGUAUGUCUCAUCCCAUCUGGGAAUCUGCUUCUCAGAAGACUCAAACUAACAUAUCUGCCCACUAUGUAUCAGGCACUGUGCUAGGUGCUGGAGACCUAAAAAUGGAUAAAACAGACAAGAGCCCUUCAUUCAUGGUGCUUGCAUCAUAGUGGGGGUAAAUAUUCCAUAAGCAAGAGAAUAAAUAGAUAAGAUAAAUUUAAAAACUAGAGAAUGACUUGUUAUAAAUUGAUUGGUAAUCAGGGAAGGUCUUCUGAGGAGAUGACACUUAAGCUGACACCUGAAUGAGAAGAAGGGGCUGGUCAACUGAAGACCUAGAUGAGAGUAUUGUAGGCAGAGGGAAGAGCAAGGACCACAGGUUGAGAAAGAAACUAGUUUGACAUAUUUGAUGGGGGAAAAGCCAGUUUGAAGAAUAAUAAAAAAGGGAAUGAAUGGAAUAAACAAGGACAUUAAAGAACUAGAGAGGAGCCUGAUCAUCACAGUAAGGCAUUUAGAAUAGGUUAGGGAGAAGACCAUUCUCUAUCAGGGUAGAACUGAAAAGGCUACGUCUGCUGCUAAAUGCUGCUAUAAAAAGACAAGGGCUUUCAUAUACUACAGAUGCAAUCUUUUGGAUCCACUUAUAUUGAGCAGACUUCGUGGACCCUCCUAAGAAAGUAGGCACCACAAAAAUAUUACAUCUAUACAAAAUGCAGGGCUCCAAGCCAUAGAUGUAUAUAUCACAUUGUGUGUGUGUGUGUGUGUGUGUGUGUGUGUGUGUGUGUGUGUGUGUGUGUCUGUAAAGCCAGCCAGUUUGUAAGCUGAACAUGACUCCCACAUGCUUUCAGAGAGAAGAGAAAAGAGAGAGGACCGUGUACUGGAAUAAGCCCUAAGAACUUCUUGGAAGAAGGGGAAGUUAGCUGAUCAAAAUUAUGUUGCUUUCUAGAAAAGAAGUAAAAAGCCAGGCAGUUUCUUUUGCUAGAACUGUCUGGGUAGAUUUCCAUUCUAAGAAAAUUACAACAAUGUAUAGUUUUAAAUAGCUAGAAGGAGAAUACUGAAUGUUCCCAACACAAAGAAGUGAUAAAUAUUUGAAAUGACGGAUAUAUUCAUAGUCCUUAUCUGAUUGCUAUACACAAUAUGUAUUGAAACAUCAUUAUGU